AGUGAACGCUGGCGGUAGGCCUAACACAUGCAAGUCGAACGGCAGCACAGUAAGAGCUUGCUCUUACGGGUGGCGAGUGGCGGACGGGUGAGGAAUACAUCGGAAUCUACUUUUUCGUGGGGGAUAACGUAGGGAAACUUACGCUAAUACCGCAUACGACCUACGGGUGAAAGCAGGGGAUCUUCGGACCUUGCGUGAUUGAUUGAGCCGAUGGCGGAUUAGCUAGUUGGCGAGGUAAAGGCCCACCAAGGCGACGAUCCGUAGCUGGUCUGAGAGGAUGAUCAGCCACACUGGAACUGAGACACGGUCCAGACUCCUACGGGAGGCAGCAGUGGGGAAUAUUGGACAAUGGGCGCAAGCCUGAUCCAGCCAUACCGCGUGGGUGAAGAAGGCCUUCGGGUUGUAAAGCCCUUUUGUUGGGAAAGAAAAGCAGCAGGUUAAUACCCCGCUGUUCUGACGGUACCCAAAGAAUAAGCACCGGCUAACUUCGUG
rnacentral:rRNA from 1 species